rnacentral:rRNA from 1 species
AACGAACGCUGGCGGCAGGCUUAACACAUGCAAGUCGAGCGCCCCGCAAGGGGAGCGGCAGACGGGUGAGUAACGCGUGGGAAUCUACCCAUCUCUACGGAAUAACGCAUGGAAACGUGUCCUAAUACCGUAUACGUCCUUCGGGAGAAAGAUUUAUCGGAGAUGGAUGAGCCCGCGUUGGAUUAGCUAGUUGGUGGGGUAAAGGCCUACCAAGGCGACGAUCCAUAGCUGGUCUGAGAGGAUGAUCAGCCACACUGGGACUGAGACACGGCCCAGACUCCUACGGGAGGCGGCAGUGGGGAAUAUUGGACAAUGGGCGCAAGCCUGAUCCAGCCAUGCCGCGUGAGUGAUGAAGGCCCUAGGGUUGUAAAGCUCUUUCACCGGUGAAGAUAAUGACGGUAACCGGAGAAGAAGCCCCGGCUAACUUCGUGCCAGCCGCCGCCUAAAAC